CCUUGCUCACAUCCAAGCCCUCUUAUCUUCUCCAUCUUGCCCCUUUCAACCAUUUCCUCUUUCUCCCUUAUGUUCUUUUCUUUAUUUUAAAAAAUUGGUCUCUCUCUCUUACCCAAGGGCUUUCUUCCAUAUGUUCCUGAUUCUCCCUCACGUAUCUGGUUCUCACGGUCCUGGUUCUCUCAGACCUGUUCCUCUUUUUCUGUCCUGGGCCAGUGUACUUCCGCUUAGGAAACCUGCUAGUCCCCUGCUCCCAGGCGGCUCACGGUUGUAAUUCAGAACUUAAUACAGCCAACCAGCUGGCAUAUGCCACUGUGGCCCAGUACUCCCAAACUCAGGAGCUCCCCAGUCCCAGCCUCCCCUGCAGCAAAGAUUACAGACAUUCACCACCCAGUUGUUUCCAUUUUCUUUUUUUUUUUUUUUCCUUUUCCACUGGUUCCUCCCUUGCAAUUCAGAUCAUUUCUCUCCCAAAAGUAAGUAAACUUCCUUUUGCUUCCCUUUCCCUUGCCUUCUUUUCCCUUCCCUUCUUCUACUCUCCAGUCUCUUGACUCUAUUACCCCUUUAAACUAUCAUCCUACCCCUUUCACAGCCAAACUCCUCGAAAAAAAUCUGUCUACAUUCGUGUCUUCCCUUACUCGAAAUAUAGGAGGUUUGGGGGUUCGUUUCUUUUUUUCUUUCUUCAAAUUGACCCACGACUUCCCGAUCUCUCGCAUUCUGGUUUCACCAGCCAAAUGAAAACGCUCGCUGCCAUGUCGCCGAUGAUCCGUUGGUUGCUAAAUCCAAUGUCAUUCUCAGGCUUCGUUCCUCUUGAUCUCUCAACAGUAAGCGAUGGGGAGGAACUCUUGGUUGGCUGCCCCCCAGGGUCCGCCUUCUGUGAUCCCACCCAGACCUCUCCUCACCCUUUGGGGAAGCUCGAGGACCAUUUGCACCGCUACAGGGCCGUUGGCCGGAGCUCCAUCUCCCAGAAUCCAUUCGACUGAGACAAGACUCUCCUCUCCUGUUCCCCACUCCCAACUCCCAGCUCUCCCCCUGAUCCUCAUCCCUGCGUCAUUCCCUACGGCUGGAUUUGUCACAGCGCAGAAUGCUAGUUGUGGCUCUGGGCAAUAGUAACAACAAUAACAACCUUGCUUAGCACCUACUAAGUGCCUAAUAAACCUUUUUCAUUCAUAAUCAUAAAUAGUAACCCUCAUUUAUGGGGCUUGAAGAUUUACAAAAUGCUUUUUUCUCACACCCACCUGGAGAGCACAUGGGAUGACUAGGCUUUGCCCCCAUUUUGCAGAUGAGACAACUGAGGAUCAGAAGGACAAAAUGACUCUUUCCAAAGUCAGUGAGCCAACAAGCAUUUAUUAAGUGAUAAUUAUGUGCCAGGUAUGGGAGUUUACAGUCUAAUAGGAGUGAUGUGGGGGACGUAUGACCCCGGCUCAGGUUAGAUUUGGGAAACAUCUCCCUGGAGAUAAUCAGGAACUGAGGAGAUCACCCAUGAGGUGGGGAUAGACAAGAGAAGAAGGUCCAGGGCAGAGUGGCAGAGGUCACCCGCAGUCAGAGGGAAGCAGCGGCAAAGGAGGCUGGGGGCAGAGAGGGAAGAAUCAGGAGAGCAAGAGCAAGAGCAAGAGCAAGAGCAAGAAAACCCAUGGGCUGGAGCAUAGCCGUUUGCACGUGGCCUCCCCCGUCCGAUUGGACGCUUCUUGAGGACCAGGGACUGAUUUUGGCCUCCUUAAUGAGUACCGAUUGCUUGAAAACCCGGAGUGGGGAGCGAAUCUGGCAAGGGGAGCAGUGUUGUCAGGGAGGAUUAGAUGGAGAAAAGGACACGGAUGAUGAUAAGAAUAUUAGUGAAUAACAAAAAGUGAAGCGAUGGAGGGGAGGGGAGUGGAGGGAGCAUGAGUCUGGGCCAGGAAGGCCGGGCUGAAGACUUGCCUUUCAUGCGAUAUCCCAGGGCUCCGGGCCUCUCCCUGAGCACCAGAAGGGACGGGCAGGCUCCUGUUGGCCUUGGCGGAUGAAAUCACUUCUCGAGUC
ensembl:lncRNA